rnacentral:rRNA from 1 species
UGGGGAAUAUUGCACAAUGGGGGAAACCCUGAUGCAGCGACGCCGCGUGAAGGAAGAAGUAUCUCGGUAUGUAAACUUCUAUCAGCAGGGAAGAGAUUGACGGUACCUGACUAAGAAGCCCCGGCUAACUACGUGCCAGCAGCCGCGGUAAUACGUAGGGGGCAAGCGUUAUCCGGAUUUACUGGGUGUAAAGGGAGCGUAGACGGAUGGACAAGUCUGAUGUGAAAGGCUGGGGCUCAACCCCGGGACUGCAUUGGAAACUGCCCGUCUUGAGUGCCGGAGAGGUAAGCGGAAUUCCUAGUGUAGCGGUGAAAUGCGUAGAUAUUAGGAGGAACACCAGUGGCGAAGGCGGCUUACUGGACGGUAACUGACGUUGAGGCUCGAAAGCGUGGGGAGCAAACAGG